UCACCCGAAUUCUAGGAACAGUUGGGUCUA
rnacentral:piRNA from 1 species